rnacentral:rRNA from 1 species
UGGCUCAGGACGAACGCUGGCGGCGUGCCUAACACAUGCAAGUCGAACGAAGUAUAUUUUCGGAAUGUGCUUAGUGGCGGACGGGUGAGUAACGCGUGAACAAUCUGCCCCAUACAGAGGAAUAGCCUCGGGAAACCGGGAUUAAAACCACAUAACACUUAAGUAUCGCAUGGUACAAAAGUCAAAUUGAUUAAGAGGUAUGGGAUGAGUUCGCGUCUGAUUAGCUAGUUGGUGAGGUAAAGGCUCACCAAGGCGACGAUCAGUAGCCGGCCUGAGAGGGUGAACGGCCACACUGGAACUGAGACACGGUCCAGACUCCUACGGGAGGCAGCAGUGGGGAAUAUUGCACAAUGGAGGAAACUCUGAUGCCAGCGACGCCGCGUGAGUGAAGAAGGUCUUCGGAUCGUAAAACUCUGUCCUUGGUGAAGAUAAUGACGGUAGCCAAGGAGGAAGCCCCGGCUAACUACGUGCCAGCCGCAGC